CCUCUCUGGAGUGUGUACAUCAUGUCAUGUCUGUGUGAAAUCAGCUGGGCUGGUGGCAUUCACACCACAGCAAUUGGCAAAUGCUGCGAAUCAGGGUUCCCUGACUUAAAAGCCGGCUGUUGAACACUGGCCUGCACACCACUGCGUCUUCCCAGAGUAGUAUCAGCUGAGCCUCUUGAUUUUGUGGAAGGAAAGCUGAAGCAGCAUGAGAAGUUCAAGUUCAGUGUAAAACCUGCCUGUGACCAUUUCAAGAUCACCAUAGUGUUGGAGUAAGUGCCAUCGAGUGAGAGCUCCAGGUAAGCCUGGUAGCACGCAGCCCACUCACUGGCCCCGAUGCUGGGAGAUGUUCACUCCCUUUCCAGAUGAGAGACCAAAGGUUUGGAAAGUUGAGCCAACCCAAUGUCAACAGGCAGAGGUUGCAAGAAUGUGAUCCCUGAUUUCAAGCUCUCCUUGUUUAAC
rnacentral:lncRNA from 1 species